UACGUAGGGGGCUAGCGUUGUCCGGAAUCAUUGGGCGUAAAGAGCGUGUAGGCGGCCCGGUAAGUCCGCUGUGAAAGUCGGGGGCUCAACCCUCGGAUGCCGGUGGAUACUGUCGGGCUCGAGUACGGAAGAGCGAGUGGAAUUCCUGGUGUAGCGGUGAAAUGCGCAGAUAGUCAGGAGGAACACCUAUUGCGAAGGCAGCUCGCUGGGACGUUACUGACGCUGAGACGCGAAGCGUGGGAGCAAACAG
rnacentral:rRNA from 1 species